rnacentral:rRNA from 1 species
CCCUUAGAUGUUCUGGGCCGCACGCGUGCUACACUGAGUGGAUCAGCGGGUCAGGUUGCGCGAAAGCGUUUCCUAAUCUUUAAAUCCGCUCGUGAUGGGGAUUGACGGUUGCAAUUUUCUGUCAUGAACGAGGAAUACCUUGUAAGCGCGGGUCAUCAUCCCGCGCUGAAUACGUCCCUGCCCUUUGUACACACCGCCCGUCGCUCCUACCGAUUGAGUGGUCCGGUGAAUUAUUCGGACCGGACGGCCUGCAGUUCGCUGUGGGACGUUGUGGAAAGUCUUGUGAACCUUAUCACUUAGAGGAAGGAGAAGUCGUAACA